UACGAAGGGGGGCUAGCGUUGCUCGGAAUCACUGGGCGUAAAGGGUGCGUAGGCGGGUCUUUAAGUCAGGGGUGAAAUCCUGGAGCUCAACUCCAGAACUGCCUUUGAUACUGAAGAUCUUGAGUUCGGGAGAGGUGAGUGGAACUGCGAGUGUAGAGGUGAAAUUCGUAGAUAUUCGCAAGAACACCAGUGGCGAAGGCGGCUCACUGGCCCGAUACUGACGCUGAGGCACGAAAGCGUGGGAGCAAACAGGG
rnacentral:rRNA from 1 species